rnacentral:rRNA from 1 species
GACGAACGCUGGCGGCGUGCUUAACACAUGCAAGUCGAACGGAAAGGCCCUGCUUUUGUGGGGUGCUCGAGUGGCGAACGGGUGAGUAACACGUGAGUAACCUGCCCUUGACUAUGGGAUAACUUCAGGAAACUGGGGCUAAUACCGGAUAGGAGCUCCUGCUGCAUGGUGGGGGUUGGAAAGUUUCGGCGGUUGGGGAUGGACUCGCGGCUUAUCAGCUUGUUGGUGGGGUAGUGGCUUACCAAGGCUUUGACGGGUAGCCGGCCUGAGAGGGUGACCGGCCACAUUGGGACUGAGAUACGGCCCAGACUGCUACGGGAGGCAGCAGUGGGGAAUAUUGCACAAUGGGCGGAAGCCUGAUGCAGCAACGCCGCGUGCGGGAUGACGGCCUUCGGGUUGUAAACCGCUUUCGCCUGUGACGAAGCGUGAGUGACGGUAAUGGGUAAAGAAGCACCGGCUAACUACGUG